rnacentral:rRNA from 1 species
CAGUCGCCGCGGAAUACGGAGGGCGCGAGCGUUACCCGGAUUUACUGGGCGUAAAGGGCGUGUAGGCGGCCUGGGGCGUCCCAUGUGAAAGGCCACGGCUCAACCGUGGAGGAGCGUGGGAUACGCUCAGGCUAGAGGGUGGGAGAGGGUGGUGGAAUUCCCGGAGUAGCGGUGAAAUGCGCAGAUACCGGGAGGAACGCCGAUGGCGAAGGCAGCCACCUGGUCCACUUCUGACGCUGAGGCGCGAAAGCGUGGGGAGCAAACCGGAUUAGAUACCCGGGUAGUCCCUGUCUCUUAUCCA